GCCAGUGCGGCAUAGUGGUUUGAGCAUUUGACUAUGACUCUGGAUACCAGGGUUCAAAUCCCUGUUCAGCCA